AAAGAAAUUUGGAGUCCGAGUCAGCUACCCCCGACUCGGUUCGUGACGACUGACGACGAGUGACGAGAUCCCAAUUCCCGGUCAGUUCGUGUUUCCCGGAAAAAACCCAGCGCCCUCCCCACCGCCGCCCGCCUCCCUCGCCUCCUAUCGGAAUCCAUCCCGAUGGCGCAAGGCACCGUGCCGUCCGCAGCCGGGGCCGGCGGAGGCGGCUGCGCCUCGGCCCCCGCCGUCUCCACGACCCCCCCUGGCACGCCACGGGCCUCCGCGGCAGCCGCGCCGCCACCGCCUCCUCCCUCCUUCGCGACUGGAUUCUACUACGCCGUGGAGCUCUACUUCGACCCGGCGCUAGAGAACCAGGUGCUCAAGGCGUGGAACGCGCUGGCGCGGCGGCAACUUGGCAGCCGCCUCAUCGACGCGGCCGCUCGCCCGCACCUCCCGCUGCUCCACCUCCCCGCCGCCGCGCUCCCGCCGCCUGGCACCGGCGCGGGCGGGGACCCGCUCCUCCGCCUCGCACCCUCGCUCCGCGCGCUCGCGUCGCGCCUCGACCCGCUCGCGCUCGCGCUCUCCUCGCUCGCCGCGCUCCCGGCCUCCGCCACCUCCUCUCCACACGACAACGUUCUCUUCCUCGCGCCCACUCCGUCUGCCGCGCUGCUCGGCCUCCAUGCGCAGCUCUGCGAACUGCUGCGGAAGGACGCUGGCGUCGAGAUCCCCGACCCGUUCCGGCCGGACCACUGGCUACCACGGUGCGCCGUCGCCAUCGACGUGCCACGCGGCCGCAUGGCCGAGGCCUUCUGCGUGCUCCGAGAGCUAAAGCUGCUCCCCGUCUCUGGGUACGGGAUGGACAUCGCGCUUGUCGAGGUCGGGGCAACCGUCAGGGAGCUCGUGUGCUACCCGCUCGGCGGCAGCGGUAGCACUGGAGCCGACUGAGAGGAACUCCUAAACUUGAUAGCGAUUCUUCGCCGAUUUAGCAAUUGAUAUGGUAGUAUGAAUCAACUAGGAGCUUGAUGAGAUUGUUUGAUGACGAUUGUAUUAGAGUGGACUAAUCAGGGAGCCCCCUGUUUUAUGCCAAGAUGAUCUUCUUGCUGCCUGAUUUUCUGCCAUCUGCUUACCACCCGUGGGUUCUACAGAAGGGAAAGGGGCGGCGUUGUUUCAGGGUGGCAGCGCUGAAUCGGGAGCGGCGGAGGCCAAAUCCAGGGCGGCAGAGGCCAAAUCCAGGGCGGCGGAGGCUGAAUCGUCGGCGGCAGCGUCCAAAUCGUCGGCGGCGGCGGCGAUUCUGAGGUGGCGACGGCGAAUCUGAGGCGGCGGCGGCUCAAUCGGGGGCAGCGGCAGCUGAAUGGUGGGGGAGAGAGGCAACCUAGGGUUGCCAGAUGAAGGAUUAUAUGGGCUGGCUGGUGGGCUGGGCCUCCUACCCCUUCCUUCUCCUUUUUUCUUUUUCUUUUUUUUUCUUUUUCUUCCUCCUCCAUGGGGCUGUUUUGCUGAUUCUCAGGUUGAUAAGGCGUCGCCUUGCUCGCCUUAGGCGUCGCCUAGGCGUCUAGGCGGGGGUCCGGCGCCUUAUCUCGCCUUACCGCCUUAAGAACCAUGAUCAUUGCUGAUGCAGGUUGGCCGCGA